rnacentral:rRNA from 1 species
UACGUAGGGUCCGAGCGUUGUCCGGAAUUACUGGGCGUAAAGAGCUCGUAGGUGGUUUGUCGCGUUGUUCGUGAAAACUCACAGCUCAACUGUGGGCGUGCGGGCGAUACGGGCAGACUAGAGUACUGCAGGGGAGACUGGAAUUCCUGGUGUAGCGGUGGAAUGCGCAGAUAUCUGGAGGAAUACCGGUGGCGAAGGCGGCAUCCUGGACCGGCAUUGACGCUGAGGAGCGAAAGCUAGGGGAGCAAACGGGG